AAAAAAAAUUGGGCAGAUGUACUGAACUGAGCCUCACACUUGUUGAUAAAGAGUAUCUUUCCUACCAAAAAAGCUUUGAAAAUGUAAUUUAUCGAGAAGAUCAGCUGAAUUAUUUUGUGUAUUAUAACGCCAGUGAUAAUUCUGAAAUUCCCCUACUUUCACUUUCAUUUUUAGAGGUUCCCGCAGACAGACGCAUUUUGCCGGAAAACGAAUCUGACAUGCCACCUCGAGAUUUUAACCAAGGAAAGACAAGUUGAUGUGCUUUGAUUUGAGGGGUCACUCACUUCUGAACGAAAAUUAGGGACAUCGCUAUGAGAAGAAACGUUAACAUUGUCGCCUAUGGGAAAACAAUUAGUGGACUGUACCCAUAUUAGGAAGCCUAUAAGUUCAUGGUGAUUGGUACAGGAAAAACAUGAGGUCCAUGCAGAUGGUGUUUAAAACUGUUGGCCAGCAAAUGCAUGCCCAUUUGAAUACAUCUUGAAACAGCACCAGCAAAAUGUGACAGUCGGCAAAAUGUAGGUUCCCGCAGACAGACGCAUUUUGCCGGAAAACGAAUCUGACAUGCCACCUCGAGAUUUUAACCAAGGAAAGACAAGUUGAUGUGCUUUGAUUUGAGGGGUCACUCACUUCUGAACGAAAAUUAGGGACAUCGCUAUGAGAAGAAACGUUAACAUUGUCGCCUAUGGGAAAACAAUUAGUGGACUGUACCCAU